rnacentral:rRNA from 1 species
AUUGAACGCUGGCGGCAGGCCUAACACAUGCAAGUCGAGCGAGCGGCGGACGGGUGAGUAAUGUCUGGGAAACUGCCUGAUGGAGGGGGAUAACUACUGGAAACGGUAUCUAAUACCGCAUACCCUCAGAUGUGCCCAGAUGGGAUUUGCUUGUAGGUGGGGUAACGGCUCACCUAGGCGAAGAUCCCUAGCUGGUCUGAGAGGAUGACCAGCAAAACUGGAACUGAGACACGGGCCAGACUCCUACGGGAGUAAGCAGUGGGGAAUAUUGCACAAUGGGCGCAAGCCUGAUGCAGCCAUGCCGCGUGGGUGAAGAAGGCCUUCGGGUUGUAAAGCACUUUCAGCGGGGAGGCGUUACCCACAGAAGAAGCACCGGCUAACUCCGUGCCAGCAGCCGCGGUAAUAC